GACAGAGGGUGCAAACGUUGCUCGGAAUCACUGGGCGUAAAGGGCGUGUAGGCGGGUGGAUAAGUCGGGCGUGAAAUCCCUAGGCUCAACCUAGGAACUGCACUCGAAACUGUUUAUCUUGAGUGCCGGAGAGGAAAGCGGAAUUCCUGGUGUAGAGGUGAAAUUCGUAGAUAUCAGGAGGAACACCAGUGGCGAAGGCGGCUUUCUGGACGGUAACUGACGCUGAGACGCGAAAGCGUGGGGAGCAAACAGG
rnacentral:rRNA from 1 species